rnacentral:rRNA from 1 species
UACGAAGGGGGCUAGCGUUGCUCGGAAUCACUGGGCGUAAAGGGUGCGUAGGCGGGUCUUUAAGUCAAGAGGUGAAAUCCUGGAGCUCAACUCCAGAACUGCCUUUGAUACUGAGGAUCUUGAGUUCGGGAGAGGUGAGUGGAACUGCGAGUGUAGAGGUGAAAUUCGUAGAUAUUCGCAAAGAACACCAGUGGCGAAGGUGGCUCACUGGCCCGAUACUGACGCUGAGGCACGAAAGCGUGGGGAGCAAACAGGG